rnacentral:lncRNA from 1 species
AUGUUUCAGUCAGAUACUCCAGGAAAAACAAAAUCCUUUAAUCAACAAAAUCCAUUAUACUACUUGAGAGAGGCUCACCAAGGAGAAGAGGUCAUUUUGUAAUCCAAGUCGAUCCACAGGGGGCAGAGAAAGGUCACGAAUGCCGGGUAAUAAACUUUCCAGCAUGGCUGAGCUGUACUGGGUCCGAUAAAACCCAACUGUUCCCAGGUUUAACUGAAAAGAUACCCAAUGGACAUUAUUAAUUAAACAGUUCCAUUUGUUUUGU